AUUGAACGCUGGCGGCAUGCCUAACACAUGCAAGUCGAACGGCAGCACGACCUAGCUUGCUAGGUUGGUGGCGAGUGGCGCACGGGUGAGUAAUGCGUCGGAAUAUACCUUAAAGUGGGGGACAACCUGGGGAAACUCAGGCUAAUACCGCAUGAGCUCUAAGGAGGAAAGCUGGGGACCUUUCGGGGCCUGGCGCUUUAAGAAUAGCUUACGUCCGAUUAGUUAGUUGGUGGGGUAAAGGCUUACCAAGACGGUGAUCGGUAGCUGGUCUGAGAGGAUGACCAGCCACACUGGGACUGAGACACGGCCCAGACUCCUACGGGAGGCAGCAGUGGGGAAUAUUGGACAAUGGGGGAAACCCUGAUCCAGCGAUGCCGCGUGUGUGAAGAAGGCCUGCGGGUUGUAAAGCACUUUCGGUGGGGAGGAGGACUUAUAGGUUAAGAGCUAAUGAGUUGGACGUUACCCACAUAAGAAGCACCGGCUAACUCCGUGCCAGCCGCCGCAGUAA
rnacentral:rRNA from 1 species